rnacentral:lncRNA from 1 species
GGGCUAAUUUUUAAAAGCCUCCCUUGAGGUUUGAGGCUGUUGCAAGUAAGAUGGCGAAAAUUAUUUUAUUUGUUAAAAGCCCCUUACGUUUUUGCUCCAUUUACUUGUUGUUUGGGUGGUUGGGGGUAUUAUUGACAUUCCGUAAUAUUGCCAAACACUUUGCAAAUCUCAGUGCCUUGAAUGACUUGUCAUUUCGAUUUAUGCUGCAUGAGGUUAUUUCAAACCGUUGAAUCCAAUUUAAAUGAAUCCAACGGUUAUGAUUGUAAUAUUUAUUAAAAUAAAGAAAUUAUGAAGUAAAAAUUAGAAAAACAAGGGAAUCGUUUGUAAAGAUAACAUGUACCCCUUACUGCUAUUCUAAAUUCCUAAUUUUUUGGUCAUUAUAGAUUCUGGAGCAAGAAAGAUAAAAAUGAAAGAAGAAGAUGAUAAGGUCCUUUACGGCUCAGGCAAGAGGUAAAAUUACUGCUUUAAAGAAGGAGGAAGAGACGAUAAUGAGCUUCUGUUAAAGCUAGGGAUUUGGCUUUACCCUGACAAUGAAGUCUUCAAGAUCUUUACAUGUUACACGCUGAAAAUGCCUUUUGUCGAAACUGGAUGACACUAAGUAGCUCGGUAGCCGCUUUUGAUGAUUUGAACUGGUGGUUUAUUAUUGUUUGUGGCUGGCGAGAAAAGUGAUGAGAUGAAAUUAGAUUUUUGUUGUCAUAAUUUUAUUUUAUUUUAUCUUUUCUGCGAUUGAUUGAUUUACAGUUUGAUUAUUGAAGUAAAUUGUACAAUAAAGUAAUUUUCAGUUGAAAAACGAUAAGAAAUUUUAUGUUU